AAUUUUCAAACCACCUUAGAAAUUCAACUUUUGGAGUACUUUUCGAAGCAGAGCCAGUGGUUGAAAAAGAAUGUUUUUGCUGGAAUAGAGAACCCAAGGAAGCAUGUCUUCUCCAAGCAUGACAACCGGCAACUCUUUCUGAGCGAUGCCACAUAUUUUGAAAAUGGUCUGGGAAGGUUUAAAGUGAAGUCUGCAAUGUCACAGGCAUCCAGAUUUAAGCCUGAUUUCAUCACCUGGGCCCCUCAAAAGGAUGAGAUAGCCAGAUCAGGCCCCGGACUCAGCACCUACCAGACAUCAUUUUCCCAAAACCAACCCCCUCAGGCCCCCAACAAACUCAUAGUGCCCCGCAUCACCAUGCCAGAGCUCCCCGCGAUGUACGUUACCAGCUACAACCACACCUACAGACACAGCCAGCCCAAUCCCAGUGUUAACACAGACAUUCUGACUGGCAAGGUGGUUACCUGGCCACUUGCCAAGGAGGCUACAUUUGCUUACAUGCAGCCACAUAGAUGUUUAAAGAAGAAACAAACUGCAUCUGUGCCCCUUACUGUUUCAGACUGCCUUUGGUGGCAGACUAGGUAGUAGAAAUGAUAUAAUUGAUACCAAAUACAAUGUGUUUUAUUUAUCAUGGUUGUUAUCCCAUCAGAGUUUUGUACUCCACACAGUGUAUAGACAAGUAAACAUUAUUUUUACCUUUUAUCAUGGAAAUGUGGAAUGUGUUUGUUGUUGUUGUUGAUGUAUCAAAGUGUACCUGAGUAAUAUAAAACCCCAAAGAAAAU